GCGGCCCAUACAAACUUGAUUGCAUAUGAGAAAUGCAGUAUAGCUAGGAAGUGACUCCUAGGUCGUCUCUCAAGGACCAAAUGUGGUUCGAGUCUUAGGUCUAACACGAAGUGGGGGGAGUUGUGAAAGGUUUUUUUUGUUAAUGCAAUGACGAAAUUAAAAAUAAAACUGGAAAUUAAAUACAACCAAACAUAAUUGAAAACCUUGAAAUAAAUGGACAAAGCAUGAAAAUCGAACUGUCCUACAGAUCAC
rnacentral:lncRNA from 1 species